CUUUGGGGUGUGACUGCGUACCUUUUGUAUAAUGGGUCAGCGACUUAUAUUCUGUAGCAAGGUUAACCGUAUAGGGGAGCCGCAGGGAAACCGAGUCUUAAUUGGGCGUUAAGUUGCAGGGUAUAGACCCGAAACCCGGUGAUCUAGCCAUGGGCAGGUUGAAGGUUGGGUAACACUAACUGGAGGACCGAACCGACUAAUGUUGAAAAAUUAGCGGAUGACCUGUGGCUGGGGGUGAAAGGCCAAUCAAACCGGGAGAUAGCUGGUUCUCCCCGAAAGCUAUUUAGGUAGCGCCUCGUGAAUUCAUCUCCGGGGGUAGAGCACUGUUUCGGCUAGGGGGCCAUCCCGGCUUACCAACCCGAUGCAAACUGCGAAUACCGGAGAAUGUUAUCACGGGAGACACACGGCGGGUGCUAACGUCCGUCGUGAAGAGGGAAACAACCCAGACCGCCAGCUAAGGUCCCAAAGUCAUGGUUAAGUGGGAAACGAUGUGGGAAGGCCCAGACAGCCAGGAUGUUGGCUUAGAAGCAGCCAUCAUUUAAAGAAAGCGUAAUAGCUCACUGGUCGAGUCGGCCUGCGCGGAAGAUGUAACGGGGCUAAACCAU
rnacentral:rRNA from 1 species